CACACUUUCCUCCCAGGUGGUGAGAAGUUCUAUACUGUUGGACUAGCGGCCGCAUGCUGGGCGUUUUGGCUUGCUCGAAACACGUCUACUUUUGAAAGGAAACUGAUUAAAAACCCCUUUGAAAUUGUGCUUUCCAUAUGCUCUUUUCUCUUGUAUUGGGCAGGACUACAGCAGGGAGGCGACAUCGACAAGCUGGGAUCAGGUGCCGAGAUGAUUAGGGCAAGCACGAUGCAACUGAUGAGGGUGUGCGAUGAUGCAAGUUGUCCGAUCGGAGGAACAUGA
rnacentral:rRNA from 1 species